rnacentral:rRNA from 1 species
AGAACGAACGCUGGCGGCAUGCCUAAUACAUGCAAGUCGAACGAACACUCCGGUGUUAGUGGCGCACGGGUGCGUAACGCGUGGGAAUCUGCCCUUGGGUUCGGAAUAACAGUUGGAAACGACUGCUAAUACCGGAUGAUGACGAAAGUCCAAAGAUUUAUCGCCCAGGGAUGAGCCCGCGUAGGAUUAGCUAGUUGGUGAGGUAAAGGCUCACCAAGGCGACGAUCCUUAGCUGGUCUGAGAGGAUGAUCAGCCACACUGGGACUGAGACACGGUCCAGACUCCUACGGGAGGCAGCAGUGGGGAAUACUGGACAAUGGGCGAAAGCCUGAUCCAGCCAAUGCCGCGUGUGUGAA